UACGGGGGGUGCGAGCGUUGUCCGGAAUCACUGGGCGUAAAGGGCGCGUAGGUGGUUUGAUAAGGGUGUGGUGAAAGUCCGGGGCUCAACCCCGGAUCUGCCGUGCCGACUGUCAAACUCGAGGGCUGUAGAGGCAGACGGAAUUCCGGGUGUAGCGGUGAAAUGCGCAGAUAUCAGGAGGAACACCGGUGGCGAAGGCGGGACUCUGGGCCGAUACUGACGCUGAGGAGCGAAAGCGUGGGGAGCAAACAGG
rnacentral:rRNA from 1 species